CUGCUGUGUUACUCAGAGAGAGUAAUGUCAGUGGCACUCUGGCCGGACCGCUGUGUUACUCAGAGAGAGUAAUGUCGGUGGCACUCUGGUUUGACCGCUGUGUUACUCAGAGAGAGUAAUGUCGGUGGCACUCUGGCCGGACCGCUGUGUUACUCAGAGAGAGUAAUGUUGGUGGCACUCUGGUUGAACCGCUGUGUUACUCAGAGAGAGUAAUGUCGGUGCCACUCUGGCCGGACCGCUGUGUUACUCGGAGAGAGUAAUGUAGGUGCCACUCUGGCCGGACCGCUGUGUUACUCAGAGAGAGUAAUGUCGGUGGCACUCUGGUUGAACCGCUGUGUUACUCAGAGAGAGUAAUGUUGGUGGCACUCUGGUUGGACCGCUGUGUUACUCAGAGAGAGUAAUGUAGGUGCCAAUCUGGCCGGACCGCUGUGUUACUCAGAGAGAGUAAUGUCAGUGCCACUCUGGCCGGACCGCUGUGUUACUCAGAGAGAGUAAUGUUGGUGGCACUCUGGCUUGACCGCUGUGUUACUCAGAGAGAGUAAUGUCGGUGGCACUCUGGCUUGACCGCUGUGUUACUCAGAGAGAGUAAUGUCGGUGGCACUCUGGCUUGACCGCUGUGUUACUCAGAGAGAGUAAUGUUGGUGCCACUCUGGCCGGACCGCUGUGUUACUCAGAGAGAGUAAUGUCAGUGGCACUCUGGCCGGACCGCUGUGUUACUCAGAGAGAGUAAUGUUGGUGGCACUCUGGCUGGACUGCAGUGGCUGACACAGAUAUUUGUUCACACUUUGGUCGGAAGUUAAGGGUCAAGAUAUCUAUUGGCUUACUGCUUUCCCAACUUACUGCCUUUCUCGACAAUUCAAUGUACAACUGUUGAUAGAUGUUGAAGCCUUUGUAACACGUUGUAAUAAAAUCUUAUUGUCUUGACAUACGGGGCGAGGUAGAAUCCAUGCAACAGGAAAAUCGUCUUGGGAAUGUUUUGUUUUUUUUCGUUUUCUGUAGAAUUUUGUAUUUAUCAAAGUUGUUUACUGCAAGCUCUUCAGAUCCAAACUAUUUCCAACGCAAUUUAAGGUACAGGUAAUGCAAUGAAAAGAUUAACUAUUCCUCGUAUUCCUCUUUAUUUCAUUACAUAAAAGAUUGGGCACUUAACCCGUUUGGCAUUUCAAAUAGAUUCCAAACCCUAGUCUGCAGUGCUGGCUACUGGGUUACAAUGUAACCUUAUUGAUGUUGUGUAUUAGGUUCUGUCAACACGUAAAAUCAAGAUAGAUAUAUUCUGAAAUUGCAACUGAUAUCUGGUCUUAAAAUAUUUUUUUUUAUCUUUUUCUUUAUUCACAGACUACAAGCAUUUUGUUCCUUUAACAGUUUUGUCGUAUUUUGAAACACGAUAUUGUAGACGCUUAAUAGCAAUUUUCCGAUUAUAUUUUUUUUGUUUUUUGUUUGUUUUUUUUUUUUAAAUAAUGGAAUUUAUUUACUUUUUUUUUAUAUUGUACAGAUCUGUGAGAAAAAUUAAGGAAAGAUUAAGAAAUAAAAAAUUAAGAAGAGAAUUCGAAUGAACCCAUGUGAAUUGUGUUGUACUGCAGGCUUUAAGCAGAUGAACUUUAGAUAUUUUAUAUGAGGCAGUUAAGCUAUUAAUGCAACUCAAAGUUUAAAGGCUACACAAGUGAAUGUUGCGUUUUAUUUGACAGUGUAUUGAAAGGUAGCGAGAGAGAGACUGAAGAUGGCUAUUGUACAUUAAAGACUUUCUGAGAAAGGUCUAACAGGACGUUGCCUGAUUUGUUUUUAUAAGGAGAUGGAUAGCUGUAGUAAGAUUGUUGUAUGUUUAGUUGAUGAUAGUUAGUACUUGUUUACUGAAUACUUGUGUUAAGUAUGAUAGAAAUAUAAUUAUCAAUAAAUAAAUAAACAAAAACUGUGACAAGAUGUCUACAGAAUCGGAGAUUAA